AAUUCGCCCUUAGAGUUUGAUCAUGGCUCAGAUUGAACGCUGGCGGCAGGCCUAACACAUGCAAGUCGAAUGGUAACAGGAAACAGCUUGCUGUUUCGCUGACGAGUGGCGGACGGGUGAGUAAUGUCUGGGAAACUGCCUGAUGGAGGGGGAUAACUACUGGAAACGGUAGCUAAUACCGCAUAACGUCGCAAGACCAAAGAGGGGGACCUUCGGGCCUCUUGCCAUCAGAUGUGCCCAGAUGGGAUUAGCUAGUAGGUGGGGUAACGGCUCACCUAGGCGACGAUCCCUAGCUGGUCUGAGAGGAUGACCAGCCACACUGGAACUGAGACACGGUCCAGACUCCUACGGGAGGCAGCAGUGGGGAAUAUUGCACAAUGGGCGCAAGCCUGAUGCAGCCAUGCCGCGUGUAUGAAGAAGGCCUUCGGGUUGUAAAGUACUUUCAGCGGGGAGGAAGGGAGUAAAGUUAAUACCUUGCUCAUGACGUA
rnacentral:rRNA from 1 species